rnacentral:rRNA from 1 species
AUUGAACGCUGGCGGCAGGCCUAACACAUGCAAGUCGAGCGAGCGGCGGACGGGUGAGUAAUGUAUGGGGACUGCCCGAUAGAGGGGGAUAACUACUGGAAACGGUAGCUAAUACCGCAUACUAUCGGAUAACCCAUAUGGGAUUAGCUAGUAGGUGAGGUAAUGGCUCACCUAGGCGACGAUCCCUAGCUGGUCUGAGAGGAUGAUCAGCCACACUGGGACUGAGACACGGCCAAGACUGAUACGGAGGAAGAAGGGGGGAAUAUUGCAAAAGUGGAGCAAGCCUGAGGCAGCCAUGACGCGUGUAUGAAGAAGGCCGUAGGGUUGGAAAGUACUGUCAUGCGGGAGGCGUUACCGACAGAAGAAGCACCGGCUAACGCCGUGCCAGCAGCCGCGGUAAUAC